CGGGUCCUGUGAGACUCGUGAUGGUGGGCCGAUAUUGAGCCAACGGAAAUGAAACGGGAACGUGACGCUGCCUGGGUGAGCAGGUCCACCUUGAGUGGAAGUCCCGAAGGGUAAGCAGAUGUACCCACCUGGAAGGCCAGGUUCAUUAUUUCCUGCCACACGAUUUCACGGGGCCACC
rnacentral:other from 1 species